rnacentral:lncRNA from 1 species
AGGAAAGAAAGAAUAGAGAAGAGGAAAGGAAAACAGAAAUCCCAAGUCUAAGCUUUCUAUUUAGAUUCUUCCUGCCCUUCAUUUAAUUUAACAAGAGGAACAACAAUGAAGUGAGUCAGGCAGUGGUUAAUGGAGAGGAACGAGAUAGAGACAUUUGACCAGUCCUGGAAACAAGAGUGGGUGGAUGAACAUGCUGAAGCAGGAGCAGUGCAGAGUCUGCUCUAGAGAGAAACCAGUGCUUUGUCCAUCCUGGUGUCAUCCUCCAGUCUCACCUGACUGAAGAGAAACGGCUUGUCAUUCAUGUCCCUUCAUCCUGUGACUUUCUGCUGCUUGUUUUGCUCCCAUGGCCGCCACUGCUGCAUAUAGGCUAUUUCAGAAAUAUGUCAUUAUUCUAGGUCACAACCAAGUUCAGCAUCGAGGGACCACAGACUUGCCACACACAGCAGGAAAACAGAAGAAAGCAAUUUUUUCUUUUGCCCUUUUUCUAGACGGAAUUUUAUGAACAUUCAUGCACAGAUCUUAGAAAAAAAGAGGUAUGGAAAUGCAUGUAAAUAAAACCUAAGUUACAC